UACGUAGGUGGCAAGCGUUGUCCGGAUUUACUGGGUUUAAAGGGUGCGUAGGCGGCUUUGUAAGUCAGUGGUGAAAUACGGUAGCUUAACUAUCGAGGUGCCAUUGAUACUGCAGAGCUUGAGUACAGAUGAGGUAAGCGGAAUUGACGGUGUAGCGGUGAAAUGCUUAGAUAUCGUCAAGAACACCUAUAGCGAAGGCAGCUUACUAGGCUGUAACUGACGCUGAGGCACGAAAGUGUGGGGAUCAAACAGG
rnacentral:rRNA from 1 species